rnacentral:rRNA from 1 species
CCUACGGGAGGCAGCAGUGGGGGAUAUUGCACAAUGGGGGAAACCCUGAUGCAGCAACGCCGCGUGAGUGAAGAAGUAGUUCGGUAUGUAAAGCUCUAUCAGCAGGGAAGAGAAUGACGGUACCUGACGAAGAAGCCCCGGCGAACUACGUGCCAGCAGCCGCGGUAAUACGUAGGGGGCGAGCGUUAUCCGGAUUUACUGGGUGUCAAGGGAGCGUAGACGGCGGGGCAAGUCGGAAGUGAAAGCCCGGGGCUGAACCCCGGAACGGCUUUUGAAACUGAGCAGCUAGAGUGCUGGAGAGGUACGCCGAAUUCCUCUUGUAGCGGUGACCUGCGUAGAUAUUAGGAGGAACACCAGUGGCGCAGGCGGCUUACUGGACCGUAACUGACGUUGAGGCUCGAAAGCGUGGGGAGCAAACAGGAUUAGAUACCCCUGUAGUC